CAGACUUCAGCCAGGACGUGGGAGGACAACUGGACCCUGAUCUUUACAGAGAUCCAAUGUUGGUCUCCUUGGGGGUCUCAGUUUUCCAAACCAGAUGUGACCCCCAUCUGGAACACGGAGAAGAGCCAUAAAAGGCUAGGGAACGCUUUCCUGUCCAGAUCUGGUGGUCAGAUCUGAAACCAAAGAUGAACUCAGCACAGAGGUUUUCCCGGGAAGAACCAGCCCUUAGAGUCGUGAUGAGUAAGAACACUUAGCAGGAUGGCCUCUGCUCCCUGAGACAGGAUAACCUCCGCCCAGUGACUUGACAAACUGCCCCAAGGCACCGCAAAAUCCAGAGAGGCAACGAUGACAUGUGCUGUCCCCCCCCCCAGGCCCUUCCCUGGAGCCCAGAGUCUGUCCCAGGCUGGAGUCCACAGGCCGAUCCCAGUCGCUGCUCUUAGAAGGAAAGAAGGAAGUGCGGGUCCAGACACCUCCGAAGCUCCAGGCUCUGGCUGCUUGAAGAGGGAGCCGAGUAGGAGAGGAUGGAGAUUCUGACUCAGAAGCCAAGAAACAGGGAACAGGCCCAGCAUGGGGAGGCAGCGGGUGCAAGAAGGGCAAGAAGUGACAAUUGAAGAAAGCUCGUGGACCUCUACCCGUCCGCGGGAGCCUCGUGGCCCAGAGUGGAUGGGGCUGCUCCGUCUUCUCCUGUCAGCUUUACACAGCUCAGCGCGGCAGCCUUUUGACAUGAAGUAAUAAUUGUCAGAGAGGGUCAGGCCUGCACCAGCCGAGAAAACAGCAGAGUGACCCUUGGAAGGAAAGCAGGUCCUGCCGAAUCCGUGCACAGCCCAUUAGCGGGUCAGAGGACCUUCCCCCGCUGACAUUUGCGUCGUCGCUGCCUCAUCAAGAAAUCUGACUUGGGGACAUCCUCUGGGCAGUCACCUUGAUGGGGGCCGUGUGCCCAGCCUCCUUCAGAGUGGUGCUCGGCAGAUGGUUUUAAACAUCAUAAUGAAAAAACAAUAGAAGGC
rnacentral:lncRNA from 1 species